ACAACACACUCUCCUUCCUAAAAACCAUCGGCUAUUCUCUCUCUCUACUGAGUUCUUCCCCAAACAUUGAAGAAGUUUAAAACUCUACUUGAAACUCAGUACCCAUCCACAAAUAAACCCCGCAGGCUCUCCCUCUCUCUCCCAGAAUCGCAACACCGAAAGAAUGAGAAAAAAAAAUUAGAACUCCGUCGUUUGCUCCAAAUAGCCGUUGCACCGGAGUCGACGCCGCUGCUGACUCCGAUUUGUCGCCCGCGGAAGCUCCAGGUGUCGCCGCUGUCUCCGGCCGAGCGGCAGCUGUCCCUCCUCCGUCUCUACCCUUCUUUCUUUCUUUCUCUCCGUUGCUUUGUUUCUCGGGGAUUAAAUUUUUUCAGUUGGGACAGAGGGCUAAGGUGAUUUAAAAUUAUCCUAAAUGAAUGCAAGGAAUUUAAUGCUAGGAACUGAUCGGUGGUUACCUUCUUAGUCGGCAGAAAACUCUCUUCUCCAACUCGGUUCUUUCUCUAAAUUUUAGUUCCCGAUUUUUCUUGGUAUUAAGUUUAUGUGUAGAAAGAUCGUGGGAUUGAUUGGAUAUAUAUAUAGGAAAAACUGAUAGAUGUUGAUGGAUUUGGUGGUUGGAGAGAUUUUAGGGAGUGGAGAUAUGGGGAAAACGUUCGUUGAUGGGAUUUGGGAGAAAUAUAUUUGACCAAAAUUUGACUGCUUGACUAGAAUGAAUAAUUAAUAUUUCGGGCUUCUAAAAAAAAUAAAUUCCAUAGACUCUCAAAAUAAAACGGAACGAUAUUUGGCUAAAAAAAUUCGACGGCAAUUCAAAAAAACUAACUUAAAAGAAAUAGAAAAAGACGGGGCGUCACAAUUUUGUGAUGCAAACAUGGGUGCUCAACAUCGAGUGCAACAUCAUUCUGAGGGUCAUGGAUUGAUUGCGGUCUUGAAAGCAAGAAUAAAGAUGGCGUAAAGGAGACACGAUGAUGGAAAGAAUGGUCGAACUGAGGAGGAGAUUUGACCAAGCACAUAGGGAGCCACCCGACCGAGUGGCUUGAUGGAGGGAUAGUCACCCGCCCGCGUGAAAUGCGGCUGGAGGGAAGGUGGUGCACCCAACCGGGUGCCAUUAGGUAACCUCACCUAUUUGCUUAGUAUGGUUCAAACUGGAUAGCUUGAAGGACCCGAUCGGAUCACUACUGCACAGUCUACACCCAAACCUACCCCGCCUAGUAGAGCUUUUAGAAUCAGCAAUUUGAAGGACCCCAGACGGGUAGGUUGGGGCACUAAUUCCACAAGGUCGGGUAGCACUGUCAUAAGUUCGCUUACAAUAUUUUAACAUUUUUUUCUUUUAUUUGGACCCUAAUUAUAACUAGCCUUUUUGGGCUCAUUUAUGAUCAACUUUAUCGAUUUAACAAACCAUUUUAUGAUUUCCAUCCUUUCCAGAAAAAUAUAUCUAUCAAUUAUAUUUUGAUGUUGCUUAAUUAAUCUUCAAUUGCUUAAUGCAUCCACAUUGGUGCGGAUGUCCCGGCGGACAUCCCCGCAGACAUCCCAAAAAUAUCUCUUGCCACGUUAUAAGGACUUCCCACUGCACUGCCACGUCAUAAGGACUUCUCACUGCACAGUGGCGGACAUCCCCAAGGACAUCCCAACGGACUUUCCACAUUAAUAAAAAUUCACAAAUU